rnacentral:lncRNA from 1 species
CUGUGAUGUAAAAGAUUGGAACUGUGUUUGCAGAUAAAGAGAUAAUUACGAAUCAGUUACCUUAAUUAUUCCUUCCCUUCAAAAUGGACAUAGAAUGACCAGUUUUCUCACUCUACAUUUGAAAUAGAUCAUUUCUCUGCACUGUGCACUGUGCCCAUCGAUAUAGAUGACAACAUAGAAGACUGUUUAGUCAACCUUUACCACUCGUAUUUUUAUCUAAUUGGUCUGAAAUAUUAUUUAAAACUCCCUCGGUGAUUGCAAUUUGCAGGAAGUCUUGAGGAAAACUGUAUGAGACUAAAGCCACAAGGUUCUGAAACCCUCCCUUAAAGUCAAUGGCAAAGUUGGAAGUCUGUGCCUAUGUGCCUUUUUCUAGGAAGACAAAAUAUAUUGUACUUCUCUAAGUUUUUCCAGAUCCCACACAAUAUUUACCAAA